UCUUUAUUUACACUUCCUUGCUGUGAUCUUUCCCAGGAAUGUGGAUUCAGACAGCCCAAAUUGUGUCUAACUUAGUGAAAGUAAGGCAAAACAAUGGUGGCAAAGGGGAAGAAAAAACUUGUGGCUACUCAUAAGAGAACCAUCAUGUGGAAAAAAGAAAACCUCCAGGCUUCUAGACAAGAUUCCACUUUCUGCAGCAUCCCUACCAACAUGUGGCAAAAAACAUCAGCAAAAAGUGAUAUUUAAAACAGUCUUUUUGCUACUACAAAUGAGUCACUUCUCAGAGUUGCCUAAAGGCAAUGUGCAAGGCGUGUUCUUUGGAAAGGAAAAGGUUAUAAGCAAGAGAUAUGAAUGCCAAAAGAUGCUCAACAGCUUGGAAAAAUAUCAGCAGAUAAGUGCCUGCAAUGAGCUAGUGAAGCAAGCAGCUGUACCACCUAGAAGCAAGCAAGCUGUCUUCUGAGGGGAGCCUGAUUCCACUCUACUGAUGGCAUUUUGUGUGAGGUUUAUGAAUACAGGAAUACUGGUCAUUCAGUGAUGUGAAACUAUCAUAUUAGACAUUGAUUUUAGUUUUUUUUUACAGAGCAUUGACUAACAAAUAUAGCAGUGGGGAAUUAAAUGGAUUGUUCUUGCUCCAAACAAUAAACAUCUAACUGUUUUUAAAAAACA
rnacentral:lncRNA from 1 species